UACAGAGGGUGCAAGCGUUAAUCGGAAUUACUGGGCGUAAAGCGCGCGUAGGUGGUUUGUUAAGUUGGAUGUGAAAGCCCCGGGCUCAACCCGGGAAUAGCGCUUGAUACUGUUGCGCUUGAAUCCAGGAGAGGAUGGCGGAAUUCCCAGUGUAGAGGUGAAAUUCGUAGAUAUUGGGAAGAAACACCAGUGGCGAAGGCGGCCAUCUGGCCUGGAAUUGACGCUGAGGCGCGAAAAGCGUGGGGAGCAAACAGG
rnacentral:rRNA from 1 species